rnacentral:misc_RNA from 1 species
CGUUGGUCCCGUUUCUUUCCCUGCAAUUACCUGACCAAUUUUGUUGCGGCUUCGCACGGAUACCAUUUUAGUCCAAGUCUGGUCCAAGAUGGCGGCCACCACGGACGUAAUGGGGAUCGAAGAUGCGAUAAAAAGUGAAAAUCUCGGGCUUUCGGAGGCUGAAAAAAUCCGUUUAGAGACUGUACUUAAAAGAGCUAAGGAAGUAGAAGAAGAGGAUUUCUUCAGCAGUCAUCCAAUGGAGGGCACCCUCAAUAAAUACACCAACGUCGUGAAGGGGUGGCAGAACCGGUGGUUUCUACUGGAUCCCCAGAAGGGAACCCUGGAAUACUACGUGACUGAAGAAUCCAGAAAGACCCAGAGACCGAGAGGAUUGGUGCAUCUGACGGGAGCGGUCAUUUCGCCCAGUGACGAGGAUUCCAUGACGUUCAACGUGAACGCGGCCAACGGGGAAGUGUACCGGCUGCGGGCUACCGACGCCAAGGAGAGGCAGUUCUGGGUCAGUCGCCUGAGGGCGGUGGUGCAACGCCAGGGGGAAGUCAUCUCACAGUCGCUGGGCGACACAACGUCACCGUCGUCCAGUCAGGGCUCCAACGAUUCCCUCCAGCAGCGGUCCGUCAUGCGACGCCAUCACUACAACGCCGCCCCGCGCCAAUCCCCCUCCAACUCCCUGGGCAGGCACACCAGGCCCCCUUCCCUCGCCCCCUCCCUCACCCCGUCUGUCACCCAGGAGUCGCUGCACAACGCCCGGGACAUCAUCACUAUCGCCGAAGAGCAACAGAGGAUGCUGGUCCAGGCACUGGAGUCGCUACCUUCGUCGGGCCACCCGAUCAACUCCUUAGACCACGACUGCCUGCUCCUCAAGUCAACAUCUCACUCGGCCAUGGGCUGCCUGGAAGACUGCCUGAACAUCUUACAGAGGCAGGACAUCGCCCAGGGGCACAGGUCAAACAGUGACCUCCAGCGAUCCAUGGCCAACAUCAGCCUUGAUCUUCAUGUGGCCAAUCCGCAGCCAGUCGGCAGUGUGAUCAACACGAAUAGCCCCAGCCACUUACCAGCGAGUAACGGGGUGGCAGACAGCUCCGAUCGUAGAGUGCCAUUUAUCAAUCCAGCUGACGAGGUUGAAGACAAGGAGGGCGGUGAAGACGAAGACAUCGGGGGAGUGGAGGAACACAAGAGUGUCAUCCUGCACCUACUCUCCCAACUCAAACUAGGCAUGGAUCUAACCAAGGUGGUGUUACCAACGUUUAUUCUUGAAAAGCGGUCCCUGCUGGAAAUGUAUGCUGACUUCAUGGCGCACCCUGACAUGUUUGCGAGAAUUCCAAGUUUACCAACUCCAGAGGCGCGCAUGAUGGCAGUCGUUGAAUACUAUCUAUGCUCAUUUCAUGUCGGCAGAAAGGGCUCGAUUGCCAAGAAACCCUUCAAUCCCAUCAUUGGUGAGACGUUCCACUGUUCCUGGGAUUUGCCCUCCAACUCCAGCCAAUCAGACGGCCCCGUUGAGAACGGUCGAGUCACCUUUGUGGCCGAGCAGGUUUCCCAUCAUCCUCCGGUGUCCGCAUUCUACGCAGAGUGUCCCAGCAAGAAGAUCUGCAUGAACAGCUGGAUAUGGACUAAAUCGAAAUUCCUGGGCAUGUCGGUCGGAGUUAACAACGCCGGAGAAGGCACGAUUCGGGACUUGGAGCACAACGAAGACUACACCAUGACGUUCCCCAGCGCGUACGGCCGGUCCAUACUCACGGUGCCCUGGAUGGAGCUCGGGGGACGAUGCACAAUACAGUGUGCGCAGUCUGGGUACCAGGCCGCCAUCACCUUCCAAACAAAGCCAUUUUACGGUGGGAAGGUUCACCGGCUGAAUGCCGAAGUGAAGAACCCUGCCAACACUGUCAUAUGCCGAGUCCAAGGCGAGUGGAACGGACAGCUGGAAUUCUCAUACGCAGGAGGAGAAAAAAAAGUGGUGGACCUGACCAAGUUGAGCAGUAUACCCAAGAAGGUCCGGCCCAUGGACAUGCAGGGAGCGUUUGAGUCUCGCCGGCUGUGGCACAACGUCAGCAACGCCCUGAAAAUUGGCGACAUCAACACCGCAACUGAGCACAAACGAUACCUUGAAGAGAUACAGCGUCGCGAGGAGCGUGAACGCAAGGAGACCAACACGCCCUGGCAGACCAAACUCUUCAAGAAGAACGAGGAAGGCUGGUCUUACAACCGGGUACUGCAAGUGCAGUGAUGAGGAGCAGUAACACAAACAGCAAGUAACAAAAACUCAAGGGUCACUCUGAACACUUAAUCACUGUCUAAGCCCGUUGUCGUGGAGGUGCGAAAAAAAAAAAAUUGUUUAAGAGCAGAAAGAUUUGCUGUGCUAACGCGGGUCGCCAUACAGAAUCCCAUUGAUGUCUGCUAGGCCGAUUAAAAAAAUAUAAUGGUUUCUCGUCUGAGCUAUUUGGAAAAAAUGAAGGAGGCUGGCACUUUUUUUUCUCCCGUUAUUUUUCUCAAGAUGGCAGAUUUUUCAAGAUGGCGGAUGGAUUCUUCCAUUUUAUUAACUGUUUUGCUGAUACAAAAUUGUGUCCUAAGGAGCCAUAAUCCUCACCACAUAGCUACAAUUUUUUGGGAAACAAAUAAAAAAAAGACAAGAUAUUUGCAAAAUGUAUUGCCUUAAGGGCAUAUUUGCCUUAAGGAUGACGCUUUUGCCCACAAGAAAAAUCAAUGAUGUGACACCCUUGUUAUUGUUAUUUUCUGCAUAAUAGCUCAACGAAAUUGACCCAAGGGCCUUUUUAUUGGUCAAACAGACUGAAUAAAUAAUACCUCAAUAUCUUUAUUAAAA